GAUGAACGCUGGCGGCGUGCCUAAUACAUGCAAGUCGAGCGAACAGACGAGGAGCUUGCUCCUCUGACGUUAGCGGCGGACGGGUGAGUAACACGUGGAUAACCCACCUAUAAGACUGGGAUAACUUCGGGAAACCGGAGCUAAUACCGGAUAAUAUAUUGAACCGCAUGGUUCAAUAGUGAAAGACGGUUUUGCUGUCACUUAUAGAUGGAUCCGCGCCGCAUUAGCUAGUUGGUAAGGUAACGGCCUACCAAGGCAACGAUGCGUAGCCGACCUGAGAGGGGGAUCGGCCACACUGGAACUGAGACACGGUCCAGACUCCUACGGGAGGCAGCAGUAGGGAAUCUUCCGCAAUGGGCGAAAGCCUGACGGAGCAACGCCGCGUGAGUGAUGAAGGUCUUCGGAUCGUAAAACUCUGUUAUUAGGGAAGAACAAAUGUGUAAGUAACUAUGCACGUCUUGACGGUACCUAAUCAGAAAGCCACGGCUAACUACGUG
rnacentral:rRNA from 1 species